ACGCUGGCGGCGUGCCUAAUACAUGCAAGUCGAGCGAACGGACGAGAAGCUUGCUUCUCUGAUGUUAGCGGCGGACGGGUGAGUAACACGUGGAUAACCUACCUAUAAGACUGGGAUAACUUCGGGAAACCGGAGCUAAUACCGGAUAAUAUUUUGAACCGCAUGGUUCAAAAGUGAAAGACGGUCUUGCUGUCACUUAUAGAUGGAUCCGCGCUGCAUUAGCUAGUUGGUAAGGUAACGGCUUACCAAGGCAACGAUGCAUAGCCGACCUGAGAGGGUGAUCGGCCACACUGGAACUGAGACACGGUCCAGACUCCUACGGGAGGCAGCAGUAGGGAAUCUUCCGCAAUGGGCGAAAGCCUGACGGAGCAACGCCGCGUGAGUGAUGAAGGUCUUCGGAUCGUAAAACUCUGUUAUUAGGGAAGAACAUAUGUGUAAGUAACUGUGCACAUCUUGACGGUACCUAAUCAGAAAGCCACGGCUAACUACGUGCCAGCAGCCGCGGUAAUACGUAGGUGGCAAGCGUUAUCCGGAAUUAUUGGGCGUAAAGCGCGCGUAGGCGGUUUUUUAAGUCUGAUGUGAAAGCCCACGGCUCAACCGUGGAGGGUCAUUGGAAACUGGAAAACUUGAGUGCAGAAGAGGAAAGUGGAAUUCCAUGUGUAGCGGUGAAAUGCGCAGAGAUAUGGAGGAACACCAGUGGCGAAGGCGACUUUCUGGUCUGUAACUGACGCUGAUGUGCGAAAGCGUGGGGAUCAAACAGGAUUAGAUACCCUGGUAGUCCACGCCGUAAACGAUGAGUGCUAAGUGUUAGGGGGUUUCCGCCCCUUAGUGCUGCAGCUAACGCAUUAAGCACUCCGCCUGGGGAGUACGACCGCAAGGUUGAAACUCAAAGGAAUUGACGGGGACCCGCACAAGCGGUGGAGCAUGUGGUUUAAUUCGAAGCAACGCGAAGAACCUUACCAAAUCUUGACAUCCUUUGACAACUCUAGAGAUAGAGCCUUCCCCUUCGGGGGACAAAGUGACAGGUGGUGCAUGGUUGUCGUCAGCUCGUGUCGUGAGAUGUUGGGUUAAGUCCCGCAACGAGCGCAACCCUUAAGCUUAGUUGCCAUCAUUAAGUUGGGCACUCUAAGUUGACUGCCGGUGACAAACCGGAGGAAGGUGGGGAUGACGUCAAAUCAUCAUGCCCCUUAUGAUUUGGGCUACACACGUGCUACAAUGGACAAUACAAAGGGCAGCGAAACCGCGAGGUCAAGCAAAUCCCAUAAAGUUGUUCUCAGUUCGGAUUGUAGUCUGCAACUCGACUACAUGAAGCUGGAAUCGCUAGUAAUCGUAGAUCGGCAUGCUACGGUGAAUACGUUCCCGGGUCU
rnacentral:rRNA from 1 species